rnacentral:misc_RNA from 1 species
GAAUCAUUGGCAUGUUAUAAUGGCAAGAAAACAUAGAGAACAAAAUAGUGUGUAUAGAAGAAGAAAAACAUCAAAUUUGCAACAAAUUAUUGCUCCUAAUAACAAUAAUAAUAAUGAUGAUGAUAAUGAUGAUAUGAUCAUACAAAGUGAUUCAACAAUUUCUAGCAACAUUGUUGAUGAUCUUCAAAGUGAUUCAACUUGCACUAAUCUUUCACUCACUCCAUCUUCUUCUAAAGCAAUAAUUCAUCCUUUUCUCAUGACAAGAUUUAAUCAUCAUCAUGUGGAGCAUCAAGGAAUCAUCGAUCCUAACAAAGGGUUGUCAAGAGAUGAAGAAGAGGUGAAAAUGGGGUUGUAUGGAAAUAUGUCAGAUACAAAUUCAGAAAUUUCAGCAUCUGAGUCAGUAGCCAACAACAUGACCAAUAUUGUCAAGAUUUAUGAACAAGAUGAAGAUGAUAUAAAAACUGUGAACUUCAUUGAUUUUCUUGGAGUUGGAGCCACUUGAAAAUUAAAUAUAAGUGGGAUUUUGAGGGUAUUUUAUUUUAUUUUAUUACAUAAUAUAUAUUAAUGUGGAAUUGUAGUAACAAUUAAUAGAAGCUAAUUAAGAGUUUAUUUUGUCAACGGAUGAAGUAGGAUUAAUUAGUUUGUAAUUUG